AUGCUACUGAAGGUUUGGGCAAAGCAAGUAAGGGACCUUGCCUAUGGUAUUGAGGAUUGCCUUGAUGAAUUUAUGGUGCAUGUGGGAAGUCAGAACCGGUCUCGACAGCUGCUUAAGCUAAAAGAUCGCCAUCGGAUUGCCAGCCAAAUCCAUUACCUCAAAGCAAGAGUUGAAGAAGUGAGCAACAGAAACACACGCUAUAACUUGAUCACCACCGAUUCCUCCAGCAGCAUUGAUGAGGUGAAUUCCUACAUGGAAGAUAUUCGCAGCCACUCAGCUAGCAACAUUGAAGAGGCAGAGCUUGUAGGCUUUGUUCAGCCUAAAGAUGAGUUGAUUAAGAUGGUGGAUGUCAACUCCGGAGAUGGUCUUUUCAAGGUGAUAUGUGUUGUUGGCAUGGGUGGUUUAGGCAAGACUACUCUUGCAAGGAAGGCAUAUGAAAGUAAGGAAGACAAUAAGAAUACAUUUUCUUGUUGUGCAGGGUCACCGUCUCACAGUCCUUUUCCAAGAUAG
rnacentral:rRNA from 1 species